CAGCAGACACAUUCCAGCCAAUCAGCAGCAGACCCUCCCUCCCAGACCCUCCCACCUCCUGGACAGCAUCCAUUUUACAUUCAUUGUGAAGCUGCAUUCUUAGUGAGCUGUCCAGGAGGUGGAAGGGUCUGGGAGGGAGGGUCUGCUGCUGAUUGGCUGGAAUGUGUCUGCUG